rnacentral:lncRNA from 1 species
GUCAAGGAGGAAAAGAAAUCUCCACAACCUUGAUACGUGCAGUGAGGUAUAUGCCAAUGGAGAAAAAGAGACCAAGAGAAAGUGAUUUCCAACUUGAAAUCUGGAAAUUCAAAGUGUAAAUCUUGUUAAUGCAAGUUUAUAAUCUGAUUUCUAGCAUCAUCAUCUCUUUUUUUUGAAUUUAGAAGAUUAGCUAAAAUCCAACAAGGAACGCAAGGUGGAAGCUUUGGGCAAACAAGGUAAGUGAUUUCUGUAAUCACUUCUUAUUUUAUUUAAGUAAAGUAGCGUUAGUUGAUUAAGCGUGAUGAGGUUUGAAGUUUCAUAUGGUUUUGUUCGUAUGAAAUUGGUAAUUUUAGCUUAGUAGACCGAAUGGGACAAUAUAAAGUUGUAAUGAUAUGACGAAUAAUGUCUGUGUAAUGGCUACGGUAUGUAACCGGGUAAUGGGUAAAAUUGCACAUAAGUGCACCAACCGAGAAUGGGGACUUAGGUUAAUGGGUCAAAGUGAAGGUAUACUUUAGCACGGAACGUUUGUACAAGCAAUGUCGAUAGUAUUUCAUGUGCCCGGUUAGUGUAAGGUGUUAUAACAUUAACAUUAUGUGAGCCUUAAGUGUAAACAUAUGAGUUGUUGAUAAAUGCAUGACGGGUCGAAUAAUUCGUAAUGAAUAAUAAGCCGAAAAUGUAUAAGUUAAGAAUUUCCUUAACCCGGAUGUUGGAUUUUAAGUUCACAUAAUAGAAUGUUAGUUUACAAUCAUGCAGGAAGAAACGAGAGGUUAAUCGGGUAAACGGUUUAAAAGCUAUGCAAGUUUUUGUGCGUGCGAACGACAAAACAACACAGCAGAAAAAUGGCAAAACUAGAGGCCGUCGCCGACGCCCCUAUGGGCCGUCGCCGCCGACGCCUUGUGCAUUUUCAGUUUUCUCCGACGCCUAAUUUUCCUGUCUUCGAAGGUUUCUGGCUACGUGAAAAACUAAUAGCCGUCGCCGACGCCCUAUAGGGCCGUCACCGAAGGCCUCCACAUGUUUUAAAUGCUGAAAUUCGUUAAUUAAGUUAUUUUGUGUACCGUAAGCUUCGGUAUAUUAACCGUGGUCUACGACGGGCCUCCCAAACAUAAUUUUGAAUGUUUCCUUGAUGUUUUUGGAUCAUAAAUCCAAGUCUAAGCAC